rnacentral:rRNA from 1 species
UACGAAGGGGGCUAGCGUUGCUCGGAAUUACUGGGCGUAAAGGGCGCGUAGGCGGACAGUUUAGUCAGAGGUGAAAGCCCAGGGCUCAACCUUGGAAUUGCCUUUGAUACUGGCUGUCUUGAGUACGGGAGAGGUGAGUGGAACUCCGAGUGUAGAGGUGAAAUUCGUAGAUAAUUCGGAAGAACACCAGUGGCGAAGGCGACUCACUGGCUCGAUACUGACGCUGAGGUGCGAAAGCGUGGGGAGCAAACAGG